rnacentral:rRNA from 1 species
CUACGGGGUGCAGCAGUCGAGAAUAGUCUAUAAUGGGGGAAACCCUGAUAGUGCGACGCCGCGUGGAUGAAGAAGCAUUUCGGUGUGUAAAAUCCUUUUCUGUGUGAGCAAUGCCUUUUAAAUUAAUAGUUUGGAAGGAGAGAUAUUAGCACAGGAAUAAGCUCCGGCUAACUCCGUGCCAGCAGCCGCGGUAACACGGGGGGAGCAAGCGUUGUCCGGAAUCACUAGGCGUAAAGGGCAAGUAGGCGGAAUUAUAAGUCAGUUGUUAAAGGCAUCGGCUCAACCGGUGUAUGGCAUUUGAUACUGUAAUUCUAGAGUAAGGUGGGGGAAGACGGAAUUCCUGGUGUAGCGGUGGAAUGCGCAGAUAUCAGGAAGAACACCGGUGGCGAAGGCGGUCUUCUAUACCAUUACUGACGCUCAAUUGCGAAGGUGUGGGUAUCGAACAGGAUUAGAUACCCCCGUAGUC